rnacentral:rRNA from 1 species
AGUGAACGCUGGCGGUAGGCCUAACACAUGCAAGUCGAACGGCAGCACAGUAAGAGCUUGCUCUUACGGGUGGCGAGUGGCGGACGGGUGAGGAAUACAUCGGAAUCUACUUUUUCGUGGGGGAUAACGUAGGGAAACUUACGCUAAUACUGCAUACGACCUACGGGUGAAAGCAGGGGAUCUUCGGACCUUGCGCGAUUGAAUGAGCCGAUGUCGGAUUAGCUAGUUGGCGGGGUAAAGGCCCACCAAGGCGACGAUCCGUAGCUGGUCUGAGAGGAUGAUCAGCCACACUGGAACUGAGACACGGUCCAGACUCCUACGGGAGGCAGCAGUGGGGAAUAUUGGACAAUGGGCGCAAGCCUGAUCCAGCCAUACCGCGUGGGUGAAGAAGGCCUUCGGGUUGUAAAGCCCUUUUGUUGGGAGAGAAAAGCAGCAGGUUAAUACCCCGCUGUUCUGACGGUACCCAAAGAAUAAGCACCGGCUAACUUCGUG